ACAAAACAGAAAGAAAAACGGAAAAAAUAAGACGAGGCAAGAAAGGAAUCAAUGAUCACAGCGUUGGUAUGGCAUUGUCUGAGGUUUCUCUGUAG
rnacentral:ribozyme from 1 species